rnacentral:rRNA from 1 species
UUCGACGGGGACCCGCACAAGCGGUGGAUGAUGUGGAUUAAUUCGAUGCAACGCGAAGAACCUUACCUACCCUUGACAUGUCCGGAACUUGCCAGAGAUGGCUUGGUGCCCGAAAGGGAAUCGGAACACAGGUGCUGCAUGGCUGUCGUCAGCUCGUGUCGUGAGAUGUUGGGUUAAGUCCCGCAACGAGCGCAACCCUUAUCAUUAGUUGCUACGCGAGGGCACUCUAAUGAGACUGCCGGUGACAAACCGGAGGAAAGGUGGGGAUGACGUCAAGUCCUCAUGGCCCUUAUGGGUAGGGCUUCACACGUCAUACAAUGGUCGGUACAGAGGGUUGCCAAGCCGCGAGGCGGAGCCAAUCCCACAAAGCCGAUCGUAGUCCGGAUUGUUCUCCGCAACUCGAGAGCAUGAAGUCGGAAUCGCUAGUAAUCGCAGGUCAGCAUACUGCGGUGAAUACGUUCCCGGGUCUU